rnacentral:rRNA from 1 species
UAACGCGUGAAGUUGACCGCCUGGGGAGUACGGUCGCAAGAUUAAAACUCAAAGGAAUUGACGGGGACCCGCACAAGCGGUGGAUGAUGUGGAUUAAUUCGAUGCAACGCGAAAAACCUUACCUACCCUUGACAUGUCCGGAAUCCUGCAGAGAUGCGGGAGUGCCCGAAAGGGAAUCGGAACACAGGUGCUGCAUGGCUGUCGUCAGCUCGUGUCGUGAGAUGUUGGGUUAAGUCCCGCAACGAGCGCAACCCUUAUCAUUAGUUGCUACGCAAGGGCACUCUAAUGAGACUGCCGGUGACAAACCGGAGGAAGGUGGGGAUGACGUCAAGUCCUCAUGGCCCUUAUGGGUAGGGCUUCACACGUCAUACAAUGGUCGGUACAGAGGGUUGCCAAGCCGCGAGGUGGAGCCAAUCCCAGAAAGCCGAUCGUAGUCCGGAUUGUUCUCUGCAACUCGAGAGCAUGAAGUCGGAAUCGCUAGUAAUCGCGGAUCAGCAUGUCGCGGUGAAUACGUUCCCGGGUCUUGUACACACCGCCCGUCACACCAUGGGAGUGGAAUCUGCCAGAAGUAGGUAGCCUAACCGCAAGGAGGGCGCUUACCACGCUGGGUUUCAUGACUGGGGUGAAGUCGUAACAAGGUAACCAAGGG